UACGGGGGGGGCAAGCGUUGUUCGGAAUUACUGGGCGUAAAGGGCGCGUAGGCGGUCCGCUAAGUUGGAUGUGAAAACUCUGGGCUUAACCCAGAGCCUGCAUUCAAAACUGACGGGCUAGAGUUCUGGAGGGGAUAGCGGAAUUCCUGGUGUAGCGGUGAAAUGCGUAGAUAUCAGGAGGAACACCGGUGGCGAAGGCGGCUAUCUGGACAGAAACUGACGCUGAGGCGCGAAAGCUAGGGGAGCAAACAGG
rnacentral:rRNA from 1 species